CGGGUAACGGAGAAUUAGGGUUCGAUUCCGGAGAGGGAGCCUGAGAAACGGCUACCACAUCCACGGUAGGCAGCAGGCGCGUAAAUUACCCAAUCCUGACUCAGGGAGGUAGUCACGAGAAAUCUUGGAGUAGCCUUUCGGUUACGCACAUGACGGGUUGAAUAUAGACCAUUCUUCGAAAUCAAUUGGAGGGCAAGUCUGGUGCCAGCAGCCGCGGUAAUUCCAGCUCCAAUAGUGUAUUUUAAUGUUGUUGCAGUUAAAAAGCUCGUAGUUGAAUUUCUGUGCAGGUGCCUUGGGUUUGCCCCUUGGCUGCCUGUACAUCCGUCUUGGAACUAGGACAGGUAUUUAGUUACCGGCCUAGGGAAGUGGCAUUUUACUUUGAAGAAAUUAGAGUGUUCCAGGCAGGCUUUUGCUUGAAUACAUCAGCAUGGAAUAAUGGAAAAGGACAUCGUCUAUCUUAUUGGUGAUCAGACAUGUAAUGAUUAACAGGGACAGUUGGGGGCAUACGUAUUCAUUUGUCAGAGGUGAAAUUCUUAGAUUAGGUGAAGACGAACUAAUGCGAAAGCAUUUGCCAAGGAUGUUUUCAUUAAUCAAGAACGAAAGUUAGGGGAUCAAAGACGCUUAGAUACCGUCGUAGUCCUAACCAUAAACUAUACCGACUAGGGAUUGGCAGGGGAUUACCCCUGUCAGCACCUAAUGAGAAAUCAAAGUCUUUGGGUUCUGGGGGGAGUAUGGUCGCAAGGCUGAAACUUAAAGGAAUUGACGGAAGGGCACCACCAGGAGUGGAGCCUGCGGCUUAAUUUGAUUCAACACGGGGAAACUUACCAGGGCCAGACCUGAGUAUGAUUGACAGAUUGAGAGCUUUUUCUUGGUAACAGGGAUGGUGGUGCAUGGCCGUUCUUAGUUGGUGGAGUGAUUUGUCCGGUUAAUUCCCUUAACAAACGAGACCUUAACCUGCUAAAUAGACGCGCUUACUUGUAGGCGUUGUCUUCUUAGAGGGACUAUGCGAAAAAAACGUAUGGAAGUUUGAGGCAAUAACAGGUCCGUGAUGCCCUUAGAAGUCUUGGGCCGCACGCGUGCUACACUGACACAUUCAACAAGUAUACCUAACUCGAAAGAGGCUGGGAAAUCUUUACAAAUUGUGUCGUGCUAUGGAUUGAUGAUUGCAAUUUUUUGUCAUGAAAUAGGAAUUCCUAGUAAUCAUAAGUCAUCAUCUUGUGGUGAUUACGUCCCUGCCCUUUGUACACACCGCCCGUCGCUCCUACCGAUUGAGUGGCCCGGUGAACUUUUUGGACUAUUGGCUACGCCGCAUAGGAAGUUAAGCAAACCUUAUCACUUAGAGGAAGGAGAAGUCGUAACAAGGUU
rnacentral:rRNA from 1 species